rnacentral:tRNA from 1 species
GCAGUGGUAGUUCAGUGGUGGUAAUUCUCACCUUCCAUGCAGGAGGCCCAGGUCUGAUUCCUGGCCAGUGCA